AUGGCCAUCCCCAAUGCUUUGCUUCUUGCCAUCCUAGGUUGCAUCUGCUUAUGCAGCAGCACUGUUCUGUCAGCUCGCAAGCUCGGCGAUGCGGCCAUGGUGGAGAGGCAUGAGCAAUGGAUGGUGAAGUACAACCGUGCUUACAAGGACGACACAGAGAAGGCGCAGAGGUUCGAGGUUUUCAAGGCCAACAUUGCCUUCAUCGAGUCAUUCAACGCCGGAAACCACAAGUUUUGGCUCGGUGUUAACCACUUUACGGACCUCACUAAUGACGAGUUUAGGGCAAGCAAGACCAACAAGGGCCUCAAGAGGAGCACUAGCAGGGCUCCAACCGGGUUCAGGUACAACAAUGUCAGCACCGAUGCACUUCCAGCCGCUGUUGAUUGGAGAACCAAGGGUGCCGUCACUCCUAUCAAAGACCAAGGCCAAUGUGGCUGUUGUUGGGCUUUUUCGGCCGUGGCUGCAACCGAGGGCAUUGUGAAAUUGAGCACAGGGAAGCUUGUCUCCUUGUCUGAGCAAGAGCUAGUUGACUGUGAUGUCCAUAGUGUGGAUCAGGGGUGUGAGGGUGGCGAGAUGGACGACGCCUUCAAGUUCAUCAUCAAGAACGGCGGCCUCACCACUGAGGCCAACUACCCAUACACCGCACAAGACGGACAGUGCAAAACUAGCACUACAAGCAACAGUGUUGCAACCAUCAAGGGCUACGAGGAUGUGCCUGCCAACGAUGAAUCUUCUCUUAUGAAAGCCGUGGCCAACCAGCCUGUAUCAGUAGCUGUGGACGGAGGAGAUGCCAUAUUUCAACACUACUCUGGCGGGGUGAUGACCGGCUCCUGUGGAACGGAUUUGGACCAUGGGAUAGUAGCGAUUGGAUAUGGCAUGACGAGUGACGGAACUAAAUUUUGGCUGUUGAAGAACUCAUGGGGCACGACAUGGGGUGAGAGCGGGUACCUUAGAAUGGAGAAGGAUAUUUCCGAUAAGGGUGGUAUGUGUGGCUUGGCCAUGCAACCUUCCUACCCCACCGAGUAG
rnacentral:rRNA from 1 species